CAAGAAAUAAGCCCUGGUAUGAUCUCACGCUGCCAAUAUAGAUGCCAUGGCAGAGAGUCACUAACCUCCGUCUGAAGCCCUCAACUUUGGGCCUGGAAACCCAAAUUAUUCUGAAGAGCUCAAGGAGAGUUUGCUGCAGAAACUGCCUCUGAGGAGACUGGAUCAAACCAGUCUGGAUUAGAAUUUGGCAGCCAGUGAAUGUCACGUUUGCAUGGGCAUUGAGGACUUCCUUCACCAUCUUACCUGAUCUAUCCCACCAAUCCGGGACCCAGAGGCAGGAAUUUCAGGUGAUGUCUCAGCGAGGACAACCAAUCCUCCAGGUCCCUCCCUGCAGCCCAGCAAGUUCCCCCAUCCCUGUCCCUCAUAUAAAGCAGUUGAGACCACAGAGGAUGUAUUCUGUCAUAGGACAUACAAGGAGAUGAUGAUUGGCUGUUAGAGCAUUUGGGUAAGUGGAUUUACUUGGAGUAAUUACAAGCUGAUGGAGUAGUCAUGCAGCAUAUCCUUCAGUUAAUAACCCUUUUCUUUUUUUCUUUUUCAGAUUGCAGUAGUGUAGUACUGAGGCAGCCCAUGGACUGCCAUGGCAACACCAGUAAAGACUUGUGAGGGAGAGGCCUGUAUUAGUGUGUCUGCAUUUCUGCUAACUAACCUUUGAUUUUUGUCUCUUACAUGUUUUGCAAGUGAGUCCCCAUGAGGCAGAGCGCAGGGGAUAGGGAAGAAGAAAAGAAGAAAGAAAGUUUAAGUGUACUAAAAAUAUUACUGAAAUUUGAUUUGUCUGGCCUUCUUUGCUGUUCUGGGGUUUGUGGGUUUGUGUGAGAGGCCUCCAGGAGGAACCAAGCAGAGCCAGGUAAUGCCUCCUCUGCUCUCAGACUUCUGCCAAAGGAUAGGUGGACAGGGCCAAAGCCCCUGUUGCCAGAUCCUGUAAUGUUAUUGCCAGUAACAUGAUUUUGGCCCCUGUUGCAAACAGGCUCAUUAUGACAAGAGAUUUCAUGGGAUUUUGAGACUGGUCUAGGGGAAAAACCCCUCUGACUAGCUGCCCUCACCAUUUCCUGAGGAAGAGUGGCUAAUCAGAGCUGCUGCGGGAGGCAGGCUGAGCUCGCUAUCCCUCCUCUCGUAAACUGACAAAAGGUUUUGGUGGGAGAAGGGGAGAGGGAGCAGGGGUGCCAUUUUCACAAGAGGUAAGGGAGGGGAGAGCAGAAAAAGCCCAGCACCAGCUCCCAUUUCCCCCUGCCUUCUUAUGAAAAAUAGGUCUGCUCCUCCUAGGGUGACCAGAUGUCUCAAUUUUAUAGGGACAGUCCCAAUUUUGGGGUCUUCUUCUUAAAUGGGCU